rnacentral:rRNA from 1 species
GAACUGAAGAGUUUGAUCAUGGCUCAGAUUGAACGCUGGCGGCAGGCCUAACACAUGCAAGUCGAGCGGAUGAAGGGAGCUUGCUCCUGGAUUC